rnacentral:rRNA from 1 species
GACGAACGCUGGCGGCGUGCUUAACACAUGCAAGUCGAACGGAAAGGCCCUGCUUUUGUUGGGUGCUCGAGUGGCGAACGGGUGAGUAACACGUGAGUAAACUGCCCUUGACUUUGUGAUAACUCCAGGAAACUGGGGCUAAUACCGGAUAGGAGCUCCUGCUGCACGGGGGGGGUUGGAAAGUUUCGGCGGUUGGGGAUGGCCUCGCUGCUUAUCAGCUUGUUGGUGGGGUAGUGGCUUACCAAGGCUUUGACGGUUAGCCGGCCUGAGAGGGUGACCGGCGACAUUGGGACUGAGAUACGGCCCAGACUCCUACGGGAGGCAGCAGUGGGGAAUAUUGCACAAUGGGCGGAAGCCUGAUGCAGCAACGCCGCGUGCGGGAUGACGGCCUUCGGGUUGUAAACCGCUUUCGCCUGUGACGAAGCGUGAGUGACGGUAAUGGGUAAAGAAGCACCGGCUAACUACGUG